AUAUUGAGGUGCAGCCCUUUCGAUCACUUGCACUUCUUCUUCACUGUUUCUCUACAGAAACUGGAACUCCUCUCUCUCUCUGGUUCGUUCAUUUCUGUACACAGCAGCAACUCUCUUCUCUCAAUUUCCAGGAACAAAAAAAUAGAAGUCUCCCCCUCACUCUCCUUCGGUCCACCGAGAAAAGAAGAAAAUAGGUAGAAGGUAGCUAAAAUACUGCUCAGAAGAUAUCAGAUGAUACUGUAGACCGGAGUCUUUUCGUUAUGGAUGGCAUAGACCCCACCCCUAAGAGCAAUAGAUCAAUAAAGACCGGUCUAACUUUUGUAUUGUACAUAUUUAUUUUGAAUUCCUAGAAAUAUGAUGUAAUAAUAACAAAAAAAAAAACUACUAUUUAUGUAUAUAUUCAUAUAAUGAAAUAUAGCCAUGCGCUAUU